GAGUUUGAUCUUGGCUCAGAUUGAACGCUGGCGGCAUGCCUUACACAUGCAAGUCGAACGGCAGCACGGGAGCUUGCUCCUGGUGGCGAGUGGCGAACGGGUGAGUAAUGCAUCGGAACGUAUCCUGGAGUGGGGGAUAACGUAGCGAAAGUUACGCUAAUACCGCAUAUUCUGUGAGCAGGAAAGCGGGGGACCUUCGGGCCUCGCGCUCUUGGAGCGGCCGAUGUCGGAUUAGCUAGUUGGUGAGGUAAAGGCUCACCAAGGCGACGAUCCGUAGCAGGUCUGAGAGGAUGAUCUGCCACACUGGAACUGAGACACGGUCCAGACUCCUAC
rnacentral:rRNA from 2 species